GGCGGAAGGGUCGGGGCAGGGCGAGGGCAGGGCGCCACCUCGUGGCUGGGGUGCCUGCGCAAACCAGCUGCCUCACCAGCCCUGGAGCUCGCACCACGUGGCCUCACCUCACGUGUGCUGUCCCCCUGGCCACGUCUGUCUUUGUCUCACCUGACGUGCUGUGCCUCUCCUGCCAGGGCUCUGUCCUGUCUGCCGCCACUACCGCCGCAUGGCCCUGCUCGGCCUGCAGCCCGCUCGCCGCUUCGCUCCCUCAGAGACCCCGCGCCAGCGGUCCGUAUUGGCCACGGCUGGAGCACAAUGGUGCUAUCUCAACUCACUGCAACAUCCGCCUCCCGAGUUCAAGCAAUUCUC
rnacentral:lncRNA from 1 species